UACGGAGGGUGCAAGCGUUAUCCGGAUUCACUGGGUUUAAAGGGUGCGUAGGAGGGUAGGAAAGUCAGUGGUGAAAUCUCCGGGCUUAACUCGGAAACUGCCGUUGAUACUACUUAUCUUGAAUAUCGUGGAGGUGAGCGGAAUAUGUCAUGUAGCGGUGAAAUGCUUAGAUAUGACAUAGAACACCAAUUGCGAAGGCAGCUCGCUACACGAAUAUUGACUCUGAGGCACGAAAGCGUGGGGAUCAAACAGG
rnacentral:rRNA from 1 species